UACAAUUAAUGUAGCCAGUAACCUAAUCCAAGUAAUUAAAUUACUUUUGGGUUACCUCAACACCAAAUAUGCAAAUAACAAGAGAUAAGAAGUAUCAUUAACAAGUAUUGAUGCAAGUGUAUUAGACAACAACAAUGUAACCCUUGAAAAGAAAAUACUGUAAAUUUCCUGCUAAUUAAUAAUCCACACGUUUACAAAAUGUAACUGUAAUCUGACUACGUCUUUUUAAUCCUGUAACAGGAAUGGAUUACAGUUACAUUUUAUUUAUAUCCUUUUUUUAUAUAAUAUAACUCAGUUACAUGUAAUCUGUUACUCCCCAAAUCCUGCUGUUAACAACUUCAAUAUUUCAUCCACUAGAAGGCUGCUGUAGUUUUUUUUUAAGCUUUUAAAGAUAAAAUAAUUAUUUUAUUUACAGAAAUAUGGCUUUUUAGAGAUCCUUAGAGACUCAAACCCCCUUUUGGACGCCACAUUACUGCCACCUGCUGGCUGACAGCCUGCAAGGAAGAAACAUUAGAAAAUAAAAACGUAGCCCAGACAGUCGGUUCAGGGUCAUAAAGGAAAGUAGAGUUCAGACAGAAAUGUCCCGAGUUAAGACCUCAUAUGGACCCAGGUUUGGUUCACAGCUGGACUCCAAUCAAAGAGAUGAAUCAAGACCACAUCAGGCUAUGGACGAGUCUGAGCCCCCCGCUCAGGACCCGGGGGGCAAACGCGGGAACAAGCGGGGUAUUAGUAGCAUUAAGGGUGAAAACAGCCGGUGGAGUUUAAAAGUAAAAUUACCAAACCUCAACAAGAGAGUGACAAAGGAGGACAAACCACCGGGAGGACUGAUGUUACAGCCCGCUGCAGAUAAAGGCGAGACUACCGUGAGCCGAGGAGGACAAACACAGAGCGCUGGCAAUGAUUCAGUCGCUGUUGGUGGAGAUGUUUUCUUUUUCUCCCAAAGACCCACCAGCAAAGGAAUACACACAAAGGAAAAGGUAAGCCCUAAGAGGACAACAAAGGAAAAACAAUGUUUAACUUCAUGACAAGAUAAUAGAUAACAUGUCAGUUUCUAUAAUUACUGUACAUUAAUGAUCUCCAGCACUAACUAGUUGUCACUGUAUGCAACUUAUGUAUGUAACCACAUUUUAGGAUCACAUCUUGUUGAGCUUUUACUUUGUCAAUAUGAGAUUAUAAGUGCAUAGAUGACCCAUGAAGAAAAAAUCCAGUGAAACUGUUUGGCAACACAGACCUUUAUUACAGAAGAUAUUUAGUCACAGGUGUACUAUUAUAAAAUUAAUGAUAGCUUGCAUUCAUUUAGCACACUUUCAUGGCUUACUGAGACACUUGAAUAGAUUUCCUACAAAGGAAAAAGCACAGAAAAGUUGAAAAGUCAUCUGCUGCUGCUCAUCCACCAUGCAGACGCACAUUUACGUUGUAUUCUCUGUACCCAUGAAUCAGACUACCAAGCUCUUUUAUCACUUACAGGCCAAGCUUGCAGUGCUUAGGACCAUCUCCAAGAUGCUGGAGGAGAACCAGCUUAUCAGACAGAGACUGGUCGCUCUCAGCCAGGCCAACUGAGGCUGCACUGACUGACUGAAAUUGCCCACAACCAUAAUGGUACUUUAUCUUAGACAUCAUCAGUUUUUCUCCACAUCAAAGUUAUAAUUAGUGGAAACGUUUAGUUCAUUCAGCAUGGGGUAUUGAAAACCAGUGUUACAACAAGGCGCAAUUUAAUGGUUCAACUGGUAAUGUGCUGUGAGACCAUAAAGCAAUCUGCAUAAAAAUGUAUUUGUCUUUUACACAAUGUUCAGUGGACAGUGUUGUUUUAUUAAAAGAGUCUCAAAUCGCUGUGCUAAAGUGUUUAUUCAAAUUAGUCUGGUAUGUUUCAGUUUCAUAUUAUAGGCAAAUUAAGAUUUUCAGCUGUUACACAUGAGUUGGAUUCACGUUAAUGCAGUUCAGUACAGUGAUUUUGUGGCACAUGGUGCCUUUGUAAAGCUUUUACUGUUCAGUGUAGACUGCGUCUGAGCAUAAUGCAAUAUUUUGUACCCCUCAGUUACAAUGGAUGGAGAAAAUAUUCUAUAUUGACAGUAUAACAGCAUGUUGAAAGAUUUACCAUUAGAUUAUCUUAAUUGUCCACCAGAGGGCACCACCUCCUCUAACAUCAGUGUCUGCUGUGGAGGUUCUCAGUUACUGGUCACACAACCAUUGACUACACAACUCAAUAUACUCUGUGUAUAUUCUGAUAUUGUAGACUUUUUACUCACAGAUGUUUCACCAGCCAUUUUCUUUAGUAACAUCAGGAAACUAAUCAAUAUAAAUGAAUGAGGCUCACUAUUAGUCCAAUUAAAUUUCUCUCUGACAGUUGCAUUUGUCACAUGUUUGUUUUUUACAUUUGAAAUAGUGUCUUGCGAUGUGCUUGAGGAGUAUUUCCCUAAGACUAAGAAUUGUAGUUUAUCCUACAAGCUAACCUAAUUAAUGGCAGUUUACAUGGUUACAAAAGCUGCUGUUUUGUCAGCUGUUACUGUACCGAUUUUAAAAGAGAAUAGUGCCGAUUAUUUCGAAAGACUUCCUUUUUUUUGUUUUAAUAGUCAACUGGCUUUAUUGUAAUUUUUCAAGCAGUUACAGCAUUUUUAUUAAUAAACAAAAAGUGGUUAAUAAGAUUAAAUAAUGGUAUUGACCUGAACUUGUUCACCAAACGUUUCAGUGAUGUAUCUGUCACCAGAGGUUUCAAGUUUACUCCUUUUAUCAGGAUUUAUAUUAGAAAAUAAACAUGAGAGCAGCAUAUGGCUGUGAUUAUUUUAACUGUAAAAUAAUUACUGUUAAACCAUGGACAAUUUACUGUAAAUUGUUCUGCAGUUUCUUAAUGUUUUGAUUG
rnacentral:lncRNA from 15 species